rnacentral:rRNA from 1 species
UCCAGAGAACUUUCCAGAGAUGGAUUGGUGCCUUCGGGAACUCUGAGACAGGUGCUGCAUGGCUGUCGUCAGCUCGUGUUGUGAAAUGUUGGGUUAAGUCCCGCAACGAGCGCAACCCUUAUCCUUGUUUGCCAGCGAGUAAUGUCGGGAACUCCAGGGAGACUGCCGGUGAUAAACCGGAGGAAGGUGGGGACGACGUCAAGUCAUCAUGGCCCUUACGAGUAGGGCUACACACGUGCUACAAUGGCGCAUACAGAGGGCAGCAAGCUAGCGAUAGUGAGCGAAUCCCAAAAAGUGCGUCGUAGUCCGGAUUGGAGUCUGCAACUCGACUCCAUGAA